GUUAGGAAUAUUGGACAAUGGGCGCAAGCCUGAUCCAGCCAUGCCGCGUGAGUGAUGAAGGCCUUCGGGUUGUAAAGCUCUUUAGUCCACGAAUAUAAUGACUGUAGUGGAAGAAUAAGCCCCGGCUAACUUCGUGUCAGCAGCAGCGGUAAUACGAAGGGGGCGAGCGUUAUUCGGAAUCACUGGGCGUAAAGCGUGCGUAGGCUGUUUUGUACGUCAGAAGUGAAAGCCCAGGGCUUAACCCUGGCAUUGCUUUUGAAACUACAAGACUCGAAUUCGGGAGAGGAUAGCGGAAUUGUCAGUGUAGCAGUGAAAUGCGUAGAUAUUGACACGAACACCAGUGGCGCAAGCGGCUAUCUGGACCGAUAUUGACGCUGAGGCACGAAAGCGUGGGGAGCAAACAGGAUUAGAUACCCCGGUAGUCC
rnacentral:rRNA from 1 species